AAUAGUGAGAAUCUUGGUAGGCCAAGCUGAAGUUCAGAAUGCAAGAAGCAUUGAAGAGAAACAGGCAUGAAAUGGUGCUUUGCAAAUAGCUGAAGGUUUUCAGGUAAAAAACAAUGUGGAAUUGCUUGCUAAAUCAAUUAAGAAACAAGAUAAAAUCAAAUCAGAAAGUAAAAAGAAGUGGGCUGAACGCAUCGAAGAACAGGAAAAGAGAAAAGAAUAACAACAGAAAA